rnacentral:rRNA from 1 species
UACGUAGGGUGCGAGCGUUGCCCGGAUUUAUUGGGCGUAAAGGGCGCGUAGGUGGUUCUGUGUGCUCCGCGUGAAAUCGCCCGGCUCAACCGGGCGGGGUCGCGGAUGACUACAGGACUGGAGCCUGGGAGGGGGAAGCGGAAUUCCCGGUGUAGUGGUGGAAUGCGUAGAUAUCGCGAGGAACACCAGUGGCGAAGGCGGCUUCCUGGACCAGAGCUGACACUGAGGCGCGAAAGCGUGGGGAGCGAUCCGG